AAAUUAUUGAUUCAAUUCUUUAAAAUAAAGAACCAGAGUAAACGAGAUAACACUUUUAAUUUGGAUGCUUUUUUUAACAGCCACAAUAGUCCCAUUAUAAGCUUUUUGUUCCUUCGUAUUCAAAAUCAAUUUGGUCUUUUUUAUAAUAUGACUCUGAACCAUAAUCUAAAUUUUUAAAUAAUAUAGAAUUUUUUAUACAUGUUUUUUUUAUCAAUUGAGUAAUAUAUUUUUCUUUUAAAAAUUUAAAUUACAUUAUAUGCAGUAAAAAAAAACUAAUAUUUUAUUGAGUAUAUGUAUUGUAUAUAUAAAAUCAAAUAAAUUAGAUA
rnacentral:sRNA from 1 species